GAUGAACGCUAGCGGCAGGCCUAAUACAUGCAAGCCGAACGGCAAGUCUGAUAGCAAUAUUAGACCUAGAGUGGCGUAAGGGUGCGUAACACGUAUGCAAUCUACCCGCAACAGGAGGAUAGCUCGGGGAAACUCGAAUUAACCCUCCAUAAGAUCUUAGACCGGCAUCGGUUAGAGAUUAAAUCUGAGGAGGUUGCGGAUGAGCAUGCGUCUGAUUAGCUAGUUGGCGGGGUAAUGGCCCACCAAGGCGAUGAUCAGUAGGGGAACUGAGAGGUUGAUCCCCCCACACUGGCACUGAGAUACGGGCCAGACUCCUACGGGAGGCAGCAGUAGGGAAUAUUGGACGAAUGGGUGAAAGCCUGAUCCAGCCAUGCCGCGUGCAGGAAGAAGGCCUUCU
rnacentral:rRNA from 1 species